GAGGGUAGAGCUCAGCGGUAGAGCGCGUGCUUAGCAUGCACGAGGUCCUGGUUCAAUGCCUAGUACCGCCA
rnacentral:tRNA from 1 species